rfam:Pteropus alecto contig17690, whole genome shotgun sequence.
GGUUCCAUAGUGUAGCAGUAAGAAUGUCUGCUUUACACGCAGAAGGUCCUGGGUUCAUGCCCCAGCAGAGCCA